CAGUAGCCGCGGGAAUACGAGGGGGGCAAGCGUUGUUCGGAAUUAUUGGGCGUAAAGGGUGCGUAGGCGGCUUGACAAGUCUUGUGUGAAAUCUAUGGGCUCAACCCAUAGUCUGCACGGGAAACUGUCGGGCUUGAGAAUGGGAGAGGUGAGUGGAAUUCCCGGUGUAGCGGUGAAAUGCGUAGAUAUCGGAAGGAACACCUGUGGCGAAAGCGGCUCACUGGACCAUUUCUGACGCUGAUGCACGAAAGCUAGGGGAGCAAACAGGAUUAGAUACCCCCGUAGUCCCUGUCUCUUAUAC
rnacentral:rRNA from 1 species